rnacentral:rRNA from 1 species
AUGGUUAAGUUAGAAAGGGCGCACGGUGGAUGCCUUGGCACUAGGAGCCGAUGAAGGACGGGACGAACACCGAUAUGCUUCGGGGAGCUGUAAGCAAGCUUUGAUCCGGAGAUUUCCGAAUGGGGAAACCCACUGCUCGUAAUGGAGUAGUAUCCAUACUUGAAUACAUAGAGUAUGAGAAGGCAUACCCGGGGAACUGAAACAUCUAAGUACCCGGAGGAAGAGAAAGCAAAUGCGAUUCCCUGAGUAGCGGCGAGCGAAACGGGAACAGCCCAAACCAAGAGGCUUGCCUCUUGGGGUUGUAGGACACUCUAUACGGAGUUACAAAGGAACGAUAUAAGCGAAGAGGUCUGGAAAGGCCCGCCAAAGAAGGUAACAGCCCUGUAACUGAAAUGUUGUUCUCUCCAGAGUGGAUCCUGAGUACGGCGGAACACGUGAAAUUCCGUCGGAAUCCGGGAGGACCAUCUCCCAAGGCUAAAUACUCCCUAGUGACCGAUAGUGAACCAGUACCGUGAGGGAAAGGUGAAAAGCACCCCGGAAGGGGAGUGAAAUAGAUCCUGAAACCGUGUGCCUACAAGUAGUCAGAGCCCGUUAAAGGGUGAUGGCGUGCCUUUUGUAGAAUGAACCGGCGAGUUACGAUCCCGUGCAAGGUUAAGCAGAAGAUGCGGAGCCGCAGCGAAAGCGAGUCUGAAUAGGGCGCAUGAGUACGUGGUCGUAGACCCGAAACCAGGUGAUCUACCCAUGUCCAGGGUGAAGUUCAGGUAACACUGAAUGGAGGCCCGAACCCACGCACGUUGAAAAGUGCGGGGAUGAGGUGUGGGUAGGGGUGAAAUGCCAAUCGAACCUGGAGAUAGCUGGUUCUCUCCGAAAUAGCUUUAGGGCUAGCCUCAAGGUAAGAGUCUCGGAGGUAGAGCACUGAUUGGACUAGGGGCCCCUACCGGGUUACCGAAUUCAGUCAAACUCCGAAUGCCGAUGACUUAUCCUUGGGAGUCAGACUGCGAGUGAUAAGAUCCGUAGUCGAAAGGGAAACAGCCCAGACCGCCAGCUAAGGUCCCAAAGUAUACGUUAAGUGGAAAAGGAUGUGGAGUUGCUUAGACAACCAGGAUGUUGGCUUAGAAGCAGCCACCAUUUAAAGAGUGCGUAAUAGCUCACUGGUCGAGUGACUCUGCGCCGAAAAUGUACCGGGGCUAAACGUAUCACCGAAGCUGCGGACUGUUCUAACGAACAGUGGUAGGAGAGCGUUCUAAGUGCUGUGAAGUCAGACCGGAAGGACUGGUGGAGCGCUUAGAAG